CCUAGGGUGGCAGCAGUGGGGAAUAUUGGACAAUGGGCGAAAGCCUGAUCCAGCCAUGCCGCGUGUGUGAAGAAGGCCUUCGGGUUGUAAAGCACUUUCAGUGGGGAAGAAAGCCUUGGGGCUAAUACCCUCGAGGAAGGACAUCACCCACAGAAGAAGCACCGGCUAACUCCGUGCCAGCAGCCGCGGUAAUACGGAGGGUGCGAGCGUUAAUCGGAAUUACUGGGCGUAAAGCGCGCGUAGGCGGUCUGAUAAGCCGGUUGUGAAAGCCCCGGGCUCAACCUGGGAACGGCAUCCGGAACUGUCAGGCUAGAGUGCAGGAGAGGAAGGUAGAAUUCCCGGUGUAGCGGUGAAAUGCGUAGAGAUCGGGAGGAAUACCAGUGGCGAAGGCGGCCUUCUGGACUGACACUGACGCUGAGGUGCGAAAGCGUGGGUAGCAAACAGGAUUACAUACCCCAGUAGUC
rnacentral:rRNA from 1 species